GACGAACGCUGGCGGCGUGCUUAACACAUGCAAGUCGAGCGGAGCGGCGAACGGGUGAGUAACGCGUGAGUAACUGCCCCCCUCUCUGGGAUAACAGUUGGAAACGGCUGCUAAUACCGGAUAGUUGGGGAUGACUCGCGUUCUAACAGCUGGUUGGUGGGGUAGUGGCCUCCCAAGGCGACGACGGGUAGCCGGCCUGAGAGGGCGACCGGCCACAUUGGGCUGAGAGACGGCCCCAACUCGUACGGGGGGCAGCUGUGGUGAAGAUUGUACAAGGGGGGAAACCCUGAUGCAGCAACGCCGCGUGCGGGAUGACGGCCUUCGGGUUGUAAACCGCUUUCAGCCAUGACGCGGUAGUGGCAGAAGAAGCACCGGCUAACUCCGUGCCAGCAGCCGCGGUAAUAC
rnacentral:rRNA from 1 species